GCAGGGCAGAUUAUAAAGGACCUCGAAUGAGAAAAUCAGGAUUUUAUAUUUGAUCUUGGAGAUGAUCGGGAACUUAUUGAGUAGGAGGGUAAGGUGAUCACCCUUGAUUUAACAAGAUCAGUUCUGUAGCUGAGUAGAGAGGAUGUACCGGAACGGGGAGAGACUUGAAGCAAGGGAAACAUGCCAGAAGGCACAGCAACCCUGGCAUGGUGAUAAGAGUCUUCCCCAGGGUGGUGGCCCUGCCAGAGAAGAGAAGGCAUUUGUAUAUAGAGUUGAGCAAACUGAACACAGGCAUUAUUACAGGUAAUAUAGAUAGUAAUUAUUUUUUAUUACACAGAUAAUAAGUGGAUAAGCAUAGGGUGAUACAUGACCACUAUGUAAAUGGAUUUCUUCAGAGAACUGGAAAAACUCCCAUUUGGAAGGAAGUGAUCUUAAUCUUUUUAAGGCGUUCUCACAGAAUGACCAAAUUAUUGAGUUGGAAAGCACCUCACAGGCUUAAUCCAACCUGUAACUGGGAAGGAAUCCACAUGAACAUAGUCAACACACAGCUAUUCAGGCAUGCAGAGGAAACCAGCUCUUCAUGAAGUUCCUGAUUUCCAGUUUGCCUUCCUAUGGACUUCAGGGAAUUUCCCCUUGAGCGAGAACAAGAUCAUUUCUACCACUGCUUCUAAAAUCAACAUAUUACCUUGAUUGACCAGCAGAUCAGUCCUUGGCUGGAAUUUCGAGAUGCCUUCAAGUAAGGAGAGAUUUAGGAAUCUAGAGAUAUUCACUGAAGCACCCACAGGAACAAACGCAAAUCAGGAGCCCUGCAGCUUGCUGUCAUUGGCUCAGCAGCGGCAGCCUCAGUAAGUAGAACCAACCCUGAGGCUCAGAUUCUUGCUCUUGUGGACUCUUUUACCGAGGAUUAGUCAAUAAGCAAGCAUUUGUUAAGUACCUACUAUGCACUAAGCAAGAUAUGUGGCAUUAUAAAGGACAUCCUACCCCAGAACUGGGAUGGCCUAACAACUACACACACAGAGAAAGAGAGAGAGAAUUUUUAUG